AGUAGCCAUAAUCUACACAUAAAUGCAGUGCACAAUGUGUUAAGCUUAACAAUAAUUGCGGGAAAAGUUGUGAUACUGCGAAAAUGCGCGUUUAAACAAGGGAGCAUGGCAGAAUGUAUUCCUCCUAUUUAUAGCGCGAUUGAUAUUGUUACGAAAAUGUGUCAUAUGUGUAGACAUAAAAAAUUUAUUCCGCUAUUCUGGUUAAAUAUCGCCUGCGAUUACCUAGACAGCGGUUAUCUUCCCAGGCGGGCUUCCUGUGCCCGAGGGGGUCUUGGUCUACCCAUAAGGGCUCAGGAGGUUUUCGCGCCAUCCGAACGAAGUGCGAAUGGAGUUCUUUAGUUCUCGUUCCUUCAAAUAAGCUUACUCAGCUUUUCCGCGUUUAUUAGCUAGCGAAGAAGGAGAUGUGAGUAAAUUGAGGCUGGCAUCUUUUUAAGCGUACUUUGAAUGACAAAGCCCACCGACCAAGUUCGAGAAACAUGUUUUUCACUAAACCCAGCCAUUUGAAUAAGCCGUUGGGAGACGCUGAAUCGAUGAAAAGGCUAAGAUUGAGAGACUGCAUCAUGACACACCACCUGUCAAUCUCACACACCAAGAGCCCCCUUCGCGUCAACCUGCAUAGAGAUCAUCUCCAAAACAUCAUCUGCUUUACAGGUACAGUCUGUUCCAUAAAUUCCUCCAGAAAUGUAGCUUUGAUAAUGGAUUUUCAAUUUUUGCUUAAAUGGCCAGUGUUCUAUAUGUACUCCAUAGAUUGUGACCACUGCCUGUUUCCAGCGCAAUUUUCCCUUUCGGAGAGGACUACUGAUGGGACUUGCUGUGCCUAAUGAGGUUUCUUUUCUCUGCAAAAGUCUUUCCGCAGUCCCCACACUUCAAGCUUGCCGCAUGCUUUUUGUUGAUGUGUCUUCUUAACUUGUUUUCAUGGUCGAAUGUUUCAUUACAUUCAUUGCAAACGCAUGGAUGACAUCCUUUUUCAUGAUACUUAAGAUCUUUGCUUCUGGAAAAUUCUGUUUGACAAGAAGCACACUUAUUCUUCGUUGCCAUGCCUGUGUCAAGAUCCUCUCUUAUGCUUUGUGCCUUGUCCUUCCAGUACUGUUGAAACAAUAAAUAACAUAAGCUUUUUAAUACAACUACCAUACAAUAUGCUAGCUCAUGGUCAUCAUAGUUAAUGGAGGGAUGUUGUAGAACAAACUGCAAAGUGAAAUUUAAAAAUUUGUAUGAGCGAACCAAGAGCAAACUCUAGAUUUCACUUCACAAAUGUUCUAAACACUACAGACUGUGGGAAACCUAUCAAACUUCAAAAUGAUCUAACAAUUUUGUAUUAUAAUAUUAUGAAGGGUAAAAAAUAGUCAGCUGAAUACCUGAAUCCACAAGAAAAUGCCCCACAUUUUCCCCACCCUCCCCCAAGGUGGGGUGCAAUA